AGCCUAUUAGCUCAACUAGUAGAGCUAUGUGUUUUUUUGCACAUGAUGUGGGUUCGAAUCCUACAUAGGUUG
rnacentral:tRNA from 1 species